rnacentral:rRNA from 1 species
CUACGGGAGGCAGCAGUAGGGAAUCUUCCGCAAUGGGCGAAAGCCUGACGGAGCAACGCCGCGUGAGUGAUGAAGGUCUUCGGAUCGUAAAACUCUGUUAUUAGGGAAGAACAUAUGUGUAAGUAACUGUGCACAUCUUGACGGUACCUAAUCAGAAAGCCACGGCUAACUACGUGCCAGCAGCCGCGGUAAUACGUAGGUGGCAAGCGUUAUCCGGAAUUAUUGGGCGUAAAGCGCGCGUAGGCGGUUUUUUAAGUCUGAUGUGAAAGCCCACGGCUCAACCGUGGAGGGUCAUUGGAAACUGGAAAACAUGAGUGCAGAAGAGGAAAGUGGAAUUCCAUGUGUAGCGGUGAAAUGCGCAGAGAUAUGGAGGAACACCAGUGGCGAAGGCGACUUUCUGGUCUGUAACUGACGCUGAUGUGCGAAAGCGUGGGGAUCAAACAGGAUUAGAUACCCUGGUAGUCCACGCCGUAAACGAUGAGUGCUAAGUGUUAGGGGGUUUCCGCCCCUUAGUGCUGCAGCUAACGCAUUAAGCACUCCGCCUGGGGA